GCCACCCUAGCUCAGCCGGUAGAGCAACUGAUUCGUAAUCAGUAGGUCGGGGGUUCGAAUCCCCCGGGUGGCUCCA
rnacentral:tRNA from 1 species